AGAGUUUGAUCCUGGCUCAGGACGAACGCUGGCGGCGCGCCUAACACAUGCAAGUCGAACGAGCGAGAGAGAGCUUGCUUUCUCGAGCGAGUGGCGAACGGGUGAGUAACGCGUGAGGAACCUGCCUCAAAGAGGGGGACAACAGUUGGAAACGACUGCUAAUACCGCAUAAGCCCACGGGUCGGCAUCGACCAGAGGGAAAAGGAGCAAUCCGCUUUGAGAUGGCCUCGCGUCCGAUUAGCUAGUUGGUGAGGUAACGGCCCACCAAGGCGACGAUCGGUAGCCGGACUGAGAGGUUGAACGGCCACAUUGGGACUGAGACACGGCCCAGACUCCUACGGGAGGCAGCAGUGGGGAAUAUUGCACAAUGGGGGAAACCCUGAUGCAGCGACGCCGCGUGGAGGAAGAAGGUCUUCGGAUUGUAAACUCCUGUUGUUGGGGAAGAUAAUGACGGUACCCAACAAGGAAGUGACGGCUAACUACGUGCCAGCAGCCGCGGUAAAACGUAGGUCACAAGCGUUGUCCGGAAUUACUGGGUGUAAAGGGAGCGCAGGCGGGAAGACAAGUUGGAAGUGAAAUCUAUGGGCUCAACCCAUAAACUGCUUUCAAAACUGUUUUUCUUGAGUAGUGCAGAGGUAGGCGGAAUUCCCGGUGUAGCGGUGGAAUGCGUAGAUAUCGGGAGGAACACCAGUGGCGAAGGCGGCCUACUGGGCACCAACUGACGCUGAGGCUCGAAAGUGUGGGUAGCAAACAGGAUUAGAUACCCUGGUAGUCCACACCGUAAACG
rnacentral:rRNA from 1 species